rnacentral:rRNA from 1 species
GACGAACGCUGGCGGCGUGCUUAACACAUGCAAGUCGAACGGAGUGGCGAACGGGUGAGUAACGCGUGGGUGAUCUGCCUUGCACUUCGGGAUAAGCUUGGGAAACUGGGUCUAAUACCGGAUAGUGCAAGAUGAGCUAGCGGCCUAUCGGCUUGUUGGUGGGGUAAUGGCCUAACAAGGCGUCGACGGGUAGCCGGCCUGGGAGGUUGUACGGCCCCAUUGGGACUGAGAGACGGCCCAGACUGCUACGGGAGGCAGCGGUGGAGAAUAUUGCACAAUGGGCGGAAGCCAGAUGCAGCGACGCCGCGUGGGGGAUGAAGGCCUUCGGGUUGUAAACUACUUUCGACAGGGACGCGGUACCUGGAUAAGAAGCACCGGCUAACUACGUGCCAGCAGCCGCGGUAAUUC